rnacentral:tRNA from 1 species
AAAGCUUUAAGUUAAAUACAAACUAUUAACCUUCAAAGUUAAAUAUAUAUUAUGUAUAAGCUUUA